CAGUGUGGGGCUGUGGAGUCCCGGGUGUGACAGGAGGGACAGUGUGGGGCUGUGGAGUCCCGGGUGUGACAGGAGGCACAGUGUGGGGCUGAGGACCCCGGGUGUGACAGGAGGGACAGUGUGGGGCUGUGGACCCCGGGUGUGACAGGAGGGACAGUGUGGGGCUGAGGACCCCGGGUGUGACAGGAGGGACAGUGUGGGGCUGUGGUCCCCGGGUGUGACAGGAGUGACGGUGUGAGGCUGAGGACCCCGGGUGUGACAGGAGUGACAGUGUGGGGCUGAGGACCCCGGGUGUGACAGGAGUGACAGUGUGGGGCUGUGGAGUCCCGGGUGUGACAGGAGGGACAGUGUGGGGCUGAGGACCCCGGGUGUGACAGGAGUGACGGUGUGGGGCUGUGGACCCCGGGUGUGACAGG